CGGACGGGUGAGUAACGCGUGGGUAACCUGCCUUGUACUGGGGGACAACAGUUAGAAAUGACUGCUAAUACCGCAUAAGCGCACAGUAGUCGCAUGAUACAGUGUGAAAAACUCCGGUGGUACAAGAUGGGCCCGCGUCUGAUUAGCUAGUUGGUAAGGUAACGGCUUACCAAGGCGACGAUCAGUAGCCGACCUGAGAGGGUGACCGGCCACAUUGGGACUGAGACACGGCCCAA
rnacentral:rRNA from 1 species